GCGGGCGUGGCGGAAUGGCAGACGCGCCGGACUUAGGAUCCGGUGGGGCAACCCGUGGGAGUUCAAGUCUCCCCGCCCGCACCA
rnacentral:tRNA from 8 species